UACGUAGGGGGCAAGCGUUAUCCGGAUUUACUGGGUGUAAAGGGAGCGUAGGUGGCAAGGCAGGUCAGAUGUGAAAUGCCGAGGCUCAACCCCGGAACUGCAUUUGAAACUGUCUAGCUAGAGUGCAGGAGAGGUAAGUGGAAUUCCUAGUGUAGCGGUGAAAUGCAUAGAUAUUAGGAGGAACACCAGUGGCGAAGGCGGCUUACUGGACUGUAACUGACACUGAGGCUCGAAAGCGUGGGGAGCAAAC
rnacentral:rRNA from 1 species